CAGCGGGUGCGAAUCCUGCCCGACAACUUUCGCUCCGGCCGGUAGUAACUGGAGCAAUCGUGGAGGUAACAAAGCGGUUGAAGCCUUCAGUGUAGAGGGUCCUUCAGGGACUUGGCGAGCACGCAGGCCGCAACGUGA
rfam:Thauera sp. 27 Cont15, whole genome shotgun sequence.